GUCUCAGGUGGCGGCAGCUAUUCUUACAGUUGGAGACUAUGAGCUGCAGGUCAGCUUAUCAGAGGCUCUGUGUCGUCUGACGCCGAAAGCAGCGAGAGCACAGAGCCAAUCAGUGGUUCUCCUGCCGUGACAUGCAUUCAAAGCCUUCUUUCUCAGAGACGUAGACUUUAUUUGUAGUGGCCUGUCUCUGUUUCCUG